UACGUAGGAUCCGAGCAUUAUCCGGAGUGACUGGGUGUAAAGAGUUGCGUAGGUGGCAUAACAAGUAGCUGGUGAAAUCCGGUCGCUCAACCAUUCGAAUUAUUAGCUAAACUGUUAAGCUCGAGACCGUUAGGGGUAACUGGAAUUUCUAGUGUAGGAGUGAAAUCCGUAGAUAUUAGAAGGAACACCGAUAGCGUAGGCAGGUUACUGGGGCGGUUCUGACACUAAGGCACGAAAGCGUAGGGAGCAA
rnacentral:rRNA from 1 species